rnacentral:rRNA from 1 species
AGAACGAACGCUGGCGGCAUGCCUAACACAUGCAAGUCGAACGCUUUUGGGGCUUCGGUCCCAAAGGAGUGGCGCACGGGUGAGUAGCGCGUGGGAACCUGCCCUGUUGUGGGGGAUAACCGAGGGAAACUUCGGCUAAUACCGCAUACGCCCGGGGGAAACUCCGGGGAAAGAUUUAUCGCAGCAGGAGGGGCCCGCGUCGGAUUAGGUAGUUGGUGGGGUAACGGCCCACCAAGCCUGUGAUCCGUAGCUGGUCUGAGAGGAUGAUCAGCCACACUGGGACUGAGACACGGCCCAGACUCCUACGGGAGGCAGCAGUGGGGAAUAUUGGACAAUGGGCGCAAGCCUGAUCCAGCAAUGCCGCGUGAGUGAUGAAGGCCUUCGGGUUGUAAAGCUCUUUCGCACGCGACGAUGAUGACGGUAGCGUGAGAAGAAGCCCCGGCUAACUUCGUGCCAGCAGCCGC